GGCUCUGUGGCCAAAUUGGAUAAGGCAUCGGUCUACGGAUCCGGAGAUUGCAGGUUCAAGUCCUGCCAGAGUCG